rnacentral:lncRNA from 1 species
AGCCUCUUCCUGGCCCCCGCAGCAAGGAGGACAGCACUCUCUCCAGUCUCUGUUCUCUCUCCUCCGCGCCCCCCCCCCACAACAUUAUUUCCCGCUUUGCUGUUUCUUGGAUGAUUUUCAAGAGUUUGUGCAAUCGCAUAUGUAUGAAAAUGCCAUAAUGAAACACAGUACUUUGCAUGCAAAAUAAAUAUAAAAUAAUAAAA